CAGUAGCCGCGGGAAAACGAAGGGUGCAAGCGUUACUCGGAAUUACUGGGCGUAAAGCGUGCGUAGGUGGUUCGUUAAGUCUGAUGUGAAAGCCCUGGGCUCAACCUGGGAAUUGCAUUGGAUACUGGCGAGCUAGAGUGCGGUAGAGGGUAGUGGAAUUCCCGGUGUAGCAGUGAGAUGCGUAGAGAUCGGGAGGAACAUCUGUGGCGAAGGCGACUGCCUGGACCAGCACUGACACUGAGGAACGAAAGCGUGGGGAGCAAACAGGAUUAGAUACCCCCGUAGUCCCUGUCUCUUAUAC
rnacentral:rRNA from 1 species